CGGGAGGAAUGGGAAAGGGUACAGUAGAAAGGCAGGCAGGGUCUUUUCUUAACUUAAAGGAAGAGUUAAAUCAGAAGUUAAUAGCUUAUUGUGAGUUAUUAAAACGAUAGCCUACACCGCGGAGAACUGGGAAACCGAAAGUUAUCUAAUUAUAUAAGAUAUUAACAAGAGAAAGAGACCUCGAUGUCGGGAAUAGGACACGGUCUGGAAUAGAGUACGUGUGGGUCGGAACAGGGGAGUGUGUCAGAGAGCUGGGCGGAGGAGAGGCAGGGUGGGCUUCGGAGGAGAGAGGAAUGGGAGGAGGAGGACUAUGGAAGGUGUCGAGUUACUGUUUUCUCAUCUAGAUUCCACAACCACAGAAAUCUACAGUUAUGCUACACCAACAACAGUGAGAGCGAGGAUGAUGAUAAGGAGGAGGGGGCUGGCAAAGAGGGUUCUAAAGAGGCAGGUAGCCAUGGUUACCAUCCCUCUGGCCUGAAGCUGGAGGUGAGGGCCGCACUGAGUGCGCUUAAAAACAAGCUGCUCGCUGAACAGAAAGAGAAGAAGCACCUCGCCUGUGUGAGAUCACUAAGAGGAAGCAUCUGGAAUGCUGUGACCUGCAGAUCUGCUCAAUACAACAGCUCAGCUCCCUCAGGACCUCACUCAACCACGACAUACACGACCUGAGCUCUGAGUUGGUGGGUCACCUGUUGAUAAGGGACCAGCUGAGGACCAAACAGGAUGCCAUGCUCCUGGAUGUACAGGAUCUGACAUAAUGUUGACCCACAGGUGCACCGGAUGUGACAUCCCCACUGCCAUGGACAGGGUACCAGGACAUGAAGUCAUUGUGACCAAUAGUGGAUAAAGUGAUUUUGGCCCAGAUAUGCCACUAUGAGACCAUCAGAAGUAUUGCCAUAGUAGCCUACUCAAUAUGAUUUUUCGUAAAGGAGAAAUGUUGAUUAUGAGCAACUGAUAAGCAACAUCUUGGACCAGUGUCAUAAUACAAUCCAUAUUUCUCAGAUGGAUGGAUAACUUUCUCUUCAUCAUCCCCACCUGAUCUUGACCAGCAUAAUCUUCAUCAUCAUUAGUGGAGAACGUACUGUAUUAGGACCUGUUUUGACUUACGCAUGCACUUAACCAAAAAUAUUUAAUAUCAGAAAGAGGGUUUUAAGCCAUUUGUGAUGUUGUUUGAAACAUCUCUAGUAAUAUCUGACUCAUAGUCUUUUGCCUGUGGUAAGAAAGUCCUAUUUAUCUUGGGGGUGUCAGAUGGAGAACCUUCACAGCCAUAGUGUAACCCAACAUUCAAUGAGUUAUAUCAUUUACAUAUAUGAGGGAUACAGCUUUACAUAAGUUUUAUUGUGUAAACAUUGCAAUAUCCUUGACUUACUACUUUAAGGGAAUUGUCCACUUAUAGCCUGUCUAAAACAAGCUAAGGAGUUACAUAUUCAGGCUAAAGGGAACUGUCCUGUAACAAUUUGGUAGAGAAGUUUCUUUGUUGCUAAUUAUCCUCUGAUGUAUAAUAUAAGCCUCAUGUAGUUGUUGAUGUAAGGGAAUUGUCUGCAUAGUGCCAAUAAGCCUGUGGGUAUUGCCAUUAUGUAUUUUAUGAUAUACCUGGUUUGCAGCCAUAACUAUAACUACCACCAGCAUAGGAAACUACAAAGCUGCAAUUGGUCAAUUGACUCCAUGCCAGCAUAACCCGAAAAUAUUUUGUGUUUCUCAGAUUGUUCUGGCAAUUCUCACAUAGAAACUUCAUUGGGAUGAAGGAUGUUUGAUGUGCUUUUUACAUUUGUAACACAAAUCAGAUCUUUUUUUAUCAUGAUGGAAGGGGCAAUUUUAGGCCCUUUUUAAUCCUAUGUAUGACAACACCUUGGUGUCGUUAUACCCCUAAUAGCUCUAAAAUAUGGACUAUCAUUACAUUCUGAAAUACAAUUUUACACAUUAAUUUAUUCAAUAUUAAAACUAUUAAUAUUAUCUCAAAAGUACCCUUUUUGAUUUUGUUCAGUUUUAGACAUAUUGUUUUAAACAAUCUAUUUUACUAGUACAUCACAUUUCCAGAGUGGGCUCUCUGUUACUUUUAAAGUUAUGAUUCAAAGGGAACUCCUUCUGCUGGUGAUUUGCUGAAUGUGCAAUCCUACAGUAGGGCUGUGAUUGGUUAAUUACCUAUAAUGUACAUUUCUUUGUAUAGUGAACAAUAAUAUAAACUCAACAUGUAAAGGUUUGGUCCCAUGUUUCAUGAGCUGAAAUAAAAGAUCCCAGAAAUGUUCCAUAUGCACAAAAUGCUUAAUUAUCUCAAAAUUUUGUGCACAUAUUUGUUUACAACCCUACUAGUGAGCGUUUAUCCUUUGCCAAUAUAAUCCAUCCACCUGACAGGUGUGGCAUAUCAAGAAGCUGAUUAAACAACAUGAACAUUACACAGGUGAACCUUGUGCUGGGGACAAUA